GAUGAACGCUAGCUACAGGCUUAACACAUGCAAGUCGAGGGGUAACGAGAGGAAAGCUUGCUUUCCUUGUCGACGACCGGCGCACGGGUGAGUAACGCGUAUCCAACCUGCCCCCAACUAGGGAAUAACCUUGCGAAAGUAAGACUAAUACCCUAUAAUUUCCUCAGAUGUCAUCUGACGAGGAAUAAAGAUUUAUCGGUUGUGGAUGGGGAUGCGUCUGAUUAGCUUGUUGGCGGGGUAACGGCCCACCAAGGCAACGAUCAGUAGGGGUUCUGAGAGGAAGGUCCCCCACAUUGGAACUGAGACACGGUCCAAACUCCUACGGGAGGCAGCAGUGAGGAAUAUUGGUCAAUGGCGGAAGCCUGAACCAGCCAAGUAGCGUGCAGGAUGACGGCCCUAUGGGUUGUAAACUGCUUUUAUACAGGAAUAAAGUUAGCCACGUGUGGUUAUUUGUAGGUGCUGUAUGAAUAAGGACCGGCUAAUUCCGUGCCAGCCGCCGCGGUAA
rnacentral:rRNA from 1 species